rnacentral:rRNA from 1 species
AUGAAUUGUGUUUCCAACGGCACCGUUUAUGAGGAGGCGGUUGGACGAGAAGGGAGCUGGGCCAGGCUGUGCGACGGAUGUUGCGCGGUGCCAAGCGUGGUGUACUGCCGCGCCGACUCCGCGUACCUCUGCGCAUCUUGUGAUGCGCAGAUCCACGCCGCAAACCGUGUGGCUUCACGCCAUGAGCGUGUGCUUCUCUCCGAGGCGUACAAGCAUGCACCAGUGGUGCUGGAAUGUCAUGCAGAUGCUGCAGCGUUGUGCGCCGCCUAUGAAGCACAGGUACACUACACAAACCUGCUUGCCGCGAUGCACCAGCGCGUGCCCGUGGUAUCACACCCGGCUGCAGCCAUUCCAGGUGCUUCUUUAUUUGCUGAGGCAGCAGCCACCCCUCCUGUCCUUGGCCGCAAGGAAGAGGAUGCCUCUUGGCUGCUGCUCAGCAAAGAUUCUGAUAACCAUAAUCACAGUGGUAACAACAGCAGCAGCAGCAGCACUAGCAGAUACUUUGGUGAAGUGGAUCAGUACUUUGACCUUGUCGGGUACAAUUCUUACUACGAUAGCCGCAUGAGCAACCAAGAGCAGUAUGUGAUGCAAGAACAACAACAUCUGCAGCAGAUGCAAAAGGAGUACGCGGAGCAGCAGAUGCAAAAGGAGUACGUGGAGAAGGAAGGGAGCGAGUGCAUAGUACCUUCACAGUCUGCAAUUGUGAGUAGGCCACAUCAGAGUGGUUAUGCACCACUUGUAGGGGCAGAGCAGGCUGCCUCCGUGACUGCUGGGGUUAGUGCUUACACAGAUUCCGUCAACAACAGCAUAUCUUUCUCCAUGGAAGCGGGUAUAGUACCGGACAAUACGGUCCAGUCCAGCAUCCUGAGACCUGCUGGAGCGAUCGGUCUCUUCUCAAGUCCUUCACUUCAGACGCCACUGCACCUCAGCUCCAAGGAGAGAGAGGCCAGGGUCCUCAGGUACAAGGAGAAGAAGAAGAGCAGAAAGUUUGAGAAGACCACACGUUAUGCAACAAGGAAGGCGUAUGCCGAAGCACGGCCAAGGAUCAAGGGCCGCUUCGCCAAACGAUCAGAUGCGGAAAUGGAAGUGGACCAGACGUUCUCAACUGCAGCCCUAUCUGACAGUAGCUACAGUACUGUCCAUUGGUUCUGA